rnacentral:rRNA from 1 species
CCUACGGGGUGCUGCAGUGAGGAAUAUUGGUCAAUGGCCGGAAGGCUGAACCAGCCAUGCCGCGUGAAGGUCAGUGCCCUAUGGGCGUUAAACUUCUUUUGUGCGGGAGCAAUAAUGGUCACGUGUGGCCAGACGAGAGUACCGUACGAAUAAGCCUCGGCUAACUCCGUGCCAGCAGCCGCGGUAAUACGGUGGAUGCAAGCGUUAUCCGGAUUUAUUGGGUUUAAAGGGUGCGUAGGCUGUGAGGUAAGUCAGCGGUGAAAUGCCCCCGCUCAACGGGGUGAAGUGCCAUUGAUACUGCCUGGCUGGAAUGCGGAUGCCGUGGGAGGAAUGUGUGGUGUAGCGGUGAAAUGCAUAGAUAUCACACAGAACACCGAUUGCGAAGGCAUCUCACGAAUCCGCGAUUGACGCUGAUGCACGAAAGCGUGGGUAUCAAACAGGAUUAGAUACCCUAGUAGUC